CCUACGGGUGGCAGCAGUGAGGAAUAUUGGUCAAUGGACGAGAGUCUGAACCAGCCAAGUAGCGUGAAGGAUGACUGCCCUAUGGGUUGUAAACUUCUUUUAUAAGGGAAUAAAGUUCGGCACGUAUGCUGUUUUGUAUGUACCUUAUGAAUAAGGAUCGGCUAACUCCGUGCCAGCAGCCGCGGUAAUACGGAGGAUCCGAGCGUUAUCCGGAUUUAUUGGGUUUAAAGGGAGCGUAGGCGGGUGCUUAAGUCAGUUGUGAAAGUUUGCGGCUCAACCGUAAAAUUGCAGUUGAUACUGGCAGUCUUGAGUGCAGCAGAGGUAGGCGGAAUUCGUGGUGUAGCGGUGAAAUGCUUAGAUAUCACGAAGAACUCCGAUUGCGAAGGCAGCUUACUGGACUGUAACUGACGUUGAUGCUCGAAAGUGUGGGUAUCAAACAGGAUUAGAUACCCUAGUAGUC
rnacentral:rRNA from 1 species